rnacentral:rRNA from 1 species
AUGGAAUACCAACCGAUUAUAUAUGCUCUGGAUGUGCGUAUUGAUCCUAUAUCCACAUAUGAGCUCUUCAGCAUGAUCUCCAAUUUUGAUCAGAGAGUCGAGUUGUUCCAAGGCACCAGUCCUAGUGCCUUCAAAUCCUCCGUCAACGCUGCAUACCGAGGCCGCGACCCUCCCAAACCCUCCUAG